GACAGAGGGUGCAAACGUUGUUCGGAUUUACUGGGCGUAAAGCGCGUGUAGGCGGCUUGGCAAGUCGGAUGUGAAAGCCCACGGCUCAACCGUGGAAGCGCAUCCGAAACUGCUUCGCUCGAGUCUCGGAGAGGAAGGUGGAAUGCUUGGUGUAGAGGUGAAAUUCGUAGAUAUCAAGCAGAACACCUGCGGCGAAGGCGGCCUUCUGGACGAUGACUGACACUGAGGAACGAAAGCCAGGGGAGCAAACGGG
rnacentral:rRNA from 1 species